CAGCUAGUUGGUGGGGUAACGGCUCACCAAGGCAACGAUCAGUAUCCGGCCUGAGAGGGCGGACGGACACACUGGGACUGAGACACGGCCCAGACUCCUACGGGAGGCAGCAGUGGGGAAUUGUUCGCAAUGGGCGCAAGCCUGACGACGCAACGCCGCGUGGAGGAUGAAGACCUUCGGGUCGUAAACUCCUUUCGAUCGAGACGAAUGGCUUCCGGGUGAACAAUCCGGGAGAAUGACGGUACCGAGAGAAGAAGCCCCGGCUAACUCCGUGCCAGCAGCCGCGGUAAUACGGGGGGGGCAAGCGUUGUUCGGAAUUACUGGGCGUAAAGGGCUCGUAGGCGGCCAACUAAGUCAGACGUGAAAUCCCUCGGCUUAACCGGGGAACUGCAUCUGAUACUGGAUGGCUUGAGAUUGGGAGAGGGAUGCGGAAUUCCAGGUGUAGCGGUGAAAUGCGUAGAUAUCUGGAGGAACACCGGUGGCGAAGGCGGCAUCCUGGACCAACACUGACGCUGAAGAGCGAAAGCCAGGGGAAC
rnacentral:rRNA from 1 species